GACAGAAAGUGCAGGCGUUAUUCGGAUUGACUGGGCGUUAAGGGUAUGUAGGCGGCUGAAUGUAACUAGGUUGGAAAAGCUCAGGAAUCCGCUGAGAAGUCUGCCUAAAAAUUAUUAAGCUAGAGUUUGUGCUGCGUUUGGAGAAUUAGGGAAGUAAAGGAGUUAAAUCCUACGAUAUUACUAGGAAGGCCGAAAGGCGAAA
rnacentral:rRNA from 1 species